ACACUGGUGGUUCAGUGGUAGAAUUCUCACCUUCCGUGCAGAAGACCUGGAUUCAAUUCCCAGCCAAGGUG
rnacentral:tRNA from 1 species